AUUGAACGCUGGCGGCAGGCCUAACACAUGCAAGUCGAGCUGAUGAAGGGAGCUUGCUCCUGGAUUCAGCGGCGGACGGGUGAGUAAUACCUAGGAAUCUGCCUGGUAGUGGGGGAUAACGUCCGGAAACGGGCGCUAAUACCGCAUACGUCCUGAGGGAGAAAGUGGGGGAUCUUCGGACCUCACGCUAUCAGAUGAGCCUAGGUCGGAUUAGCUAGUUGGUGGGGUAAAGGCCUACCAAGGCGACGAUCCGUAACUGGUCUGAGAGGAUGAUCAGUCACACUGGAACUGAGACACGGUCCAGACUCCUACGGGAGGCAGCAGUGGGGAAUAUUGGACAAUGGGCGAAAGCCUGAUCCAGCCAUGCCGCGUGUGUGAAGAAGGUCUUCGGAUUGUAAAGCACUUUAAGUUGGGAGGAAGGGCAGUAAGUUAAUACCUUGCUGUUUUGACGUUACCAACAGAAUAAGCACCGGCUAACUUCGUG
rnacentral:rRNA from 1 species